rnacentral:rRNA from 1 species
UACAGAGGGUGCGAGCGUUGUCCGGAAUCACUGGGCGUAAAGGGCGCGUAGGCGGCUUGAUAAGCGUGCGGUGAAAGCCCGGGGCUCAACCCCGGGUCGGCCGUGCGAACUGUCGAGCUGGAGCACUGUAGAGGCAGGUGGAAUUCCGGGUGUAGCGGUGGAAUGCGUAGAGAUCCGGAAGAACACCGGUGGCGAAGGCGGCCUGCUGGGCAGUGGCUGACGCUGAGGAGCGAAAGCAUGGGGGAGCGAACAGG